CUCAGAUUGAACGCUGGCGGCAUGCUUUACACAUGCAAGUCGAACGGUAACAGGUCUUCGGAUGCUGACGAGUGGCGAACGGGUGAGUAAUACAUCGGAACGUGCCUAGUAGUGGGGGAUAACUACUCGAAAGAGUAGCUAAUACCGCAUGAGAUCUACGGAUGAAAGCAGGGGACCUUCGGGCCUUGUGCUACUAGAGCGGCUGAUGGCAGAUUAGGUAGUUGGUGGGGUAAAGGCUUACCAAGCCUGCGAUCUGUAGCUGGUCUGAGAGGACGACCAGCCACACUGGGACUGAGACACGGCCCAGACUCCUACGGGAGGCAGCAGUGGGGAAUUUUGGACAAUGGGCGAAAGCCUGAUCCAGCAAUGCCGCGUGCAGGAUGAAGGCCCUCGGGUUGUAAACUGCUUUUGUACGGAACGAAAAGCCUGGGGCUAAUAUCCCCGGGUCAUGACGGUACCGUAAGAAUAAGCACCGGCUAACUACGUGCCAGCAGCCGCGGUAAUACGUAGGGUGCAAGCGUUAAUCGGAAUUACUGGGCGUAAAGCGUGCGCAGGCGGUUUUGUAAGACAGUGGUGAAAUCCCCGGGCUCAACCUGGGAACUGCCAUUGUGACUGCAAGGCUAGAGUGCGGCAGAGGGGGAUGGAAUUCCGCGUGUAGCAGUGAAAUGCGUAGAUAUGCGGAGGAACACCGAUGGCGAAGGCA
rnacentral:rRNA from 1 species